rnacentral:rRNA from 1 species
GUGGGGAAUCUUGCGCAAUGGGCGAAAGCCUGACGCAGCCAUGCCGCGUGAAUGAUGAAGGUCUUAGGAUUGUAAAAUUCUUUCACCGGGGACGAUAAUGACAGUACCCGGAGAUGAAGCUCCGGCUAACUUCGUGCCAGCAGCCGCGGUAAUACGAAGGGGGCUAGCGUUGCUCGGAAUUACUGGGCGUAAAGGGCGCGUAGGCGGACAGCUUAGCCAGAGGUGAAAGCCCAGGGCUCAACCUUGGAAUUGCCUUUUGUACUGUCUGUCUUGAGUGUGGGAGAGGUGAGUGGAACUCCGAGUGUAGAGGUGAAAUUCGUAGAUAUUCGGAAGAACACCAGUGGCGAAGGCGACUCACUGGCCCAAUACUGACGCUGAGGCGCGAAAGCGUGGGGAGCAAACAGGAUUAGAAACCCGAGUAGUCC